AGAGAGUCGUAUAGUGGAAGUACAGAGGGUUUUGAGCCCUUAGGUGCAGGUUCGGAUCCUGUCUUUCUA
rnacentral:tRNA from 1 species